ACCUGUAUCAUUCCAGGAUGAUCCCUGGGAUUGUUUCCUGGCCAUGGCGUUCCAUCCUGCAUGGUCCAACCUUCCUCGGGCAUCUUUUGUGCUUUGGCAACAAGCGCAUUGAUCCGAAUCUUGAAUUCUUCAUACUCUCUCUUCAUUGCUCGCCUCUCUUUGACAAAAGAAGGUUUAAUCUUGUCCUUCAAGUAAUCUAUUUUUUGAGCAAAAUAAAAUUCAGGG
rnacentral:misc_RNA from 1 species